rnacentral:lncRNA from 1 species
AGAAGGACCUAGUAUGAAUCUAGAUGGAUCUAAAUCAACGAAAGGUUUGAGUAUAGUAUAGUCAAGAGAUGGAUGAGAAGGAAGAGGAGGAACCAAAGACAUUGUUCAAAAGAGAAGAGCCGAGAGAAUCGGUUACGAAAAGAGAAGAAGGAUGAAGGAGACAAAGAAGAGGUUUUAGUGAAGGAUAUGAGGAAAAGAAAUAAGAAUUGGAAGAGACAAAAAGAAUGGGAAGCUUGAGGAAGAAGAAAAGGCCGUCGUAUUGAACUGUCGCUUCGAUUACGAGUCCCAAGAUCGGUUGUAAUGAUGAAUAGACAGCGGCAAUUAAGAUGAGUUAAUUAAUGCCGCACAUGAGACAAAAGUAGAGAAUGCGAUCGGGGCCGUAAAGAAGAGAAUAAACGGCUUAGAUUAAACCGUACAGAAGAUCGUAGUCAGAGAAUUUGAAUUUGAUCGGACCGAGAAAUACG